rnacentral:rRNA from 1 species
CAGUCGCGCGGGAAUACGUAGGUGGCAAGCGUUGUCCGGAAUUAUUGGGCGUAAAGCGCGCGCAGGCGGUUUUUAAGUCUGGUGUCUAAGUGCGGGGCUCAACCCCGUGACGCACUGGAAACUGGGAGACUUGAGUGCAGAAGAGGAGAGCGGAAUUCCACGUGUAGCGGUGAAAUACGUAGAGAUGUGGAGGAACACCAGUGGCGAAGGCGACUCUCUGGUCUGUAACUGACGCUGAGGAGCGAAAGCGUGGGGAGCGAACAGGAUUAGAUACCCCCGUAGUCCCUGUCUCUUAUACACA